rnacentral:tRNA from 1 species
AAAAUGGGGGUGUAGCUCAUAUGGUAGAGCGCUCGCUUCGCAUGCGAGAGGCACGGGGUUCGAUUCCCCGCACCUCCACCUACUCUAAUAAUAAUCAUGUUAUAAUUUUAUUAUUCAUUUUUUUUUUAAUUUAAUUAAUACAUAGAGUCCUCAUAGAAUUAACAUAUUCCUAUAUUUGUUACUUAAAUGUUGUUCGUUUCUAGAAGUUUUAACACUAUUCAAUUUUAUAAACUGCUAAUUAAUAAGUGCUAUUAAAAGAGUUCAAAGACGUUAAUCAAGAUAAUUAAUACCAUAGUUUUGUUCCCUUCCAUUUAAAUAGGCAAGGAUUUUAUUGUUGUUCAUCAAUCAACUACUAAACAUAUAUUUUGUUAUACUAACAAAGUUUUUUUUCUUUAUUUUUUCUCAAUAUCUCAGUAUGUCUAUUAAAAAUGUGAUUUCACUUUUAAUGGUCAUAUGCAUUAUAGUCUCCGUAAAUGCAAGGCCACCAUUUUCGUCUAUUUUUACUGAUCCAUAUCCGUUACUUAAUAGUUUUCCAGUAUUUUCUCGUAUAUUCAAAUGUUAUUCAUCUGUGAUGAAAUUUCCAAUAUGCGUUAUAGAAACUACUCAAUCCGUAUCUAAUAGGCGAUGGGUGAUUAGUCCUUAUUGUUGCAAGGCAUAUUUACAUACCAGAGAUUACUGCUUGCCAAAAAUUCCAUACAUGCCACAUUUUCCUUCUUUCAUAAGAAAUCAUUGUUUAAAAGUUGUUAGAAAAUAGAAUUUUAAUAUAUAUAUAUAUAUAUAUAUAUAUAUAUAUAUAUAAGUCUUUUAACAAAAAUAAAGUUGAUUUGCUAAAUGUUGUACUCAAAAACUACAAUUAUACAAUAAUAGCAUUACAACAUUCACUUUUCUGUGUUUCAUCUUUAUUUAGUUGACAAUAUGAUACUUUACAUGGACAUAGACAUAUAAACAAAUAGUUACAAGGUUAAUCUUCUUAAAAAAUU